AUGCAAAAUUUAUUUACUCCACUGCAGAAUAAAAGCAGUACAGCUCAUAAGCUGACAGAAGUUCUUGCUGUCCAGUCAACUUCAAAACCCAGCAGUGAUCCACCACAGCCUUCUACCUCCCUGGCUCCCUCUUCCAGUUCUGAAAAGGCAACAGCAUGGAAAGAUCUCUGUCCCAAAGGGAAAGGAAGGUACCAUCCAUUGACCUCCAAAACCUCGCCCAAACCUUCAAAGAACAAAAAGAUGGUUGGCUUUCCUUCUCCCACAAGAGGCAGACUUUCCACAUCACCUCAAGCUCUUAAAGACACCUGGUCUUACGACUUGCUGGUGACCUGUGCCCACUGCAACGUUAUUCUGCCACUUCCAACUCUUCAGAAACAUGAGAAGACUCUUUCUAGAGUGCUCAUGAUUAAAUUUGGAAAUAGAGAAGCAUCUUCAGACUGAAACUACAGCUCAACUUUAGCAAAAGAUUCCAGCAGUGCUGGACUUACCAGGCCUCCAAGGAACUCCUUUAUUGGUCUUUGAAGUCUGUUUGAGGAUGGCUGGUAAACAUAAUACAGUCUGAAGAGAAUCCAUGAAUAAAACAAAUUUGAAGAGGAACUGGGCA
rnacentral:lncRNA from 1 species